rnacentral:rRNA from 1 species
UACGUAGGGGGCAAGCGUUGUCCGGAUUUAUUGGGCGUAAAGAGCGUGUAGGCGGCCAGAUAGGUCCGUUGUGAAAACUCGAGGCUCAACCUCGAGACGCCGAUGGAAACCAUCUGGCUAGAGUCCGGAAGAGGAGGAGUGGAAUUCCUGGUGUAGCGGUGAAAUGCGCAGAUAUCAGGAAGAACACCCGUGGCUAAGGCGGCUCUCUAGUACGGUACUGACGCUGAGACGCGAAAGCGUGGGGAGCGAACAGG